rnacentral:rRNA from 1 species
GAGUAAUGCGUGACCAACCUGCCCCAUGCUCCAGAAUAGCUCUUGGAAACGGGUGGUAAUGCUGGAUGCUCCAACUUGACGCAUGUCUUGUUGGGAAAGUGUUUAGUGGCAUGGGAUGGGGUCGCGUCCUAUCAGCUUGUAGGCGGGGUAAUGGCCCACCUAGGCUUCGACGGGUAGCCGGCCUGAGAGGGCGGACGGCCACAUUGGGACUGAGAUACGGCCAGACUCCUACGGGAGGCAGCAGAU